AUUGAACGCUGGCGGCAGGCCUAACACAUGCAAGUCGAGCGGUAACACAGGGAGCUUGCUCCCGGGUGACGAGCGGCGGACGGGUGAGUAAUGUCUGGGAAACUGCCUGAAGGCGGGGGAUAACUACUGGAAACGGUAGCUAAUACCGCAUCACGUCGCAAGACCAAAGAGGGGGACCUUCGUGCCUAUUGCCAUCAGUUGUGACCAGAUGGGAUUAGCUAGUAGGUGGGGUAACGGCUCACCUAGGCGACGAUCCCUAGCUGGUCUGAGAGGAUGACCAGCCACACUGGAACUGAGACACGGUCCAGACUCCUACGGGAGGCAGCAGUGGGGAAUAUUGCACAAUGGGCGCAAGCCUGAUGCAGCCAUGCCGCGUGUAUGAAGAAGGCCUUCGGGUUGUAAAGUACUUUCAGCGGGGAGGAAGGCGAUAAGGUUAAUAACCUUGUCGAUUGACGUUACCCGCAGAAGAAGCACCGGCUAACUCCGUGCCAGCCGCCGCGGUAACAC
rnacentral:rRNA from 1 species